AAACCGUUCAGGGGUAAACCUGAGAAACCCGAAAGAUCGAAUGGGGAGAUUCAGCGUCAGCGGCGUUGGCUUCCGUGUGGUGCGCGAUGCUGGAGAGUUUCGGCUCUUCGGCACUCCGCCACGUGGUAUGUCUGGCGUCGUCGGCGUGCACUUCUCCCCUAGUAGGACGUCGCGACCCGUUGGGUGUCGGCCUACGGCCCGGGGGGCAGUCUGUCUCGUCGCUUCGGCGUUCGCGGCAGACCCCCGGAGUCCCGGCCGGCUGCCCGGCGGUACUCGUACGGUAUCGAGCCGCUCGAACGGCGUCCGGCCCGUCGCAAGCGCGGCCAGUGAUCACUCGGAGUUACGGACCUAGCGCCGUACCCGAGCCUGGCCAGCUGUUGGUUGACGGUGUCCUCGGACUGGCUCUGUCGAAUCAUGAUACCGGUCGGCGACGCUACUGCUUUGGGUACUUUCAGGA
rnacentral:rRNA from 1 species